rnacentral:misc_RNA from 1 species
UUUCCGUAGGUGAACCUGCGGAAGGAUCAUUAUUGUAUAACCUAUAUGCGAGUGCUGUCGCUGACCUGAAAGGUCGGUCACGCGCGAGUGCCCUCACUCACAUCCGUCUCCACCCUAUGUGCACCACUGCGUGUGUCCGCCUUUGGCCUGUUCUGAGUGGACCUUACGUUUACACCUAAACUUAGUAUACAUCUUAGAAUGCAUUUUGUUGUUUUACGAUCACGCAAGCAAGACAACUCUCAACAACGGAACUCAUGACUCUCGCACCGAUAAAGAACC